UACGUAGGGGGCAAGCGUUGUCCGGAAUCAUUGGGCGUAAAGAGCGUGUAGGCGGCUCGGUAAGUCCGCUGUGAAAGUCCAGGGCUCAACCCUGGAAUGCCGGUGGAAACUGUCGAGCUAGAGUCCGGAAGAGGCGAGUGGAAUUCCUGGUGUAGCGGUGAAAUGCGCAGAUAUCAGGAGGAACACCGGUGGCGAAGGCGGGUCUCUGGGCCGUUACUGACGCUGAUGCACGAAAGCUGGGGGAGCAAACAGG
rnacentral:rRNA from 1 species